GGGCCAGCCGAACCGGCCGUCGAGCCGAAAUCGAUCGAACCGGCGUUGAGGAAUUCGAGCGCCUUGUUGGAACCAGCCGACUGCACCCAGACGAUCUUGAUCCCGUCCUUUUCGAAUUCCUUUUCGAGCAGACCCUUCUCUUUCCGAGACCGGAUUGUAGGUCGCCCAGUCGAUCGCGAUUUGCUUCGGCGCGUCGGCGGCAAGGGCUGCAGCCGGGGCGAACACAGCGCCUGCGAUCAGGGCAGCAACAGCGC
rnacentral:misc_RNA from 1 species